rnacentral:misc_RNA from 1 species
AACCAUAGAAACCUGCGGAGUACCUGCGGAGGGAUCAUUACCGUGCCGUUCGGGGACGCCUCCGGGGCCGCUUCGGCCCCGGGGACUCGCCCCGACGUAGGCCUUCACCCGUGUUUACUUGACCCACGUUUGGUUGCUUCGGCGGGAAAGACGGUGCUGAGAUCAUCAUCGUUCCCCUCGGGUCCAGGAUUAAUAGAGAAUCGCUGGAUUAUUUUCUGGGGGGACAGUCACCGGCGCCCG